UGGUGGAGGGGAGGAUGAGCGGUUGGUGUUGGAAUGUUGGGUGUGCACGCUCUAAGGCAGUUGUGAGGUGGUUGAGCAGAGCUGACCGUUGGGGGAUGAGGAGACAGUUGGAGAGGGAGGUUAGGGUUGAGAAGGCAUAGUAGAGCUCAGAGGGGGCACUGGCUUCAGAAGGAUGAUCCAUAUGAGAUCAAAGGAGCAACUCAAGGGGCUACCAAGAAUACCACAGUGGUGCAAAGUCAUUGAAACCCCGGCUGACAUUACAGAGAAGUCACGACCCUGAAAACCAGCCAGGCCUCUGCAGAUGUGACGGUGCCGCGCUGGGCUGUUUUCCGCAGCCAGAGGAGGAUCACGUGCUGGCUCCACGUGACUGCUGGCCCACCUGGCCCAUGAGCAGUCACUUGUCACGAGACCAAGGGCACCAGGAGGAGCUUUGAAGGAGGGACACUGAAGAAACACCAUGGAUACACUGUUGCUGUUACUCUUACUUCAUUUCCAGAUGAUGGGGGCACAGAGGGGAGCCCGGCAGGCCCUGUUGAGCAGGUUGGCACGUGUGAUGGUAAACGCAUAGCGCCUGGGUCUUGGAGCAGAUCCGCUGGAGCCAUGGGUUAAGCUCCUAUGUGCUGCUUCCGCUUCUGGAGAGGAGCAGGAGGACAGAGAGGUUGAGGCCUCCUUCCGGGAGCCGUGCUGGGGACACCUGCACCCGAGAGAGAUUGGGGGCAGUGACCAGCUUCUAGGAGGUGCCUGGGGACGGCAGGGACGCCGCCUCUGCUCUGGUCUGGAGUCUCCACCUCUGGGUCUGUCCCCCAGGGCAGCUUCCAUGGGGGCAGCCUUGGAGAGAGCUGGCCGGGUCUCCAGUGACUUCCCUCAGCAUCGCCGUUCCUCUGUGUGAGCCACAUGCAAAGCCCCUGGGUCAGAGUAUUCCUGGGGGCGCCGGGGUCCCACUGCAGGUUCCUAGAGUGGUCUCUGAACCCGGAAAGCCAGGGUGCUCCUGUGACCUCAUCACUUGCUAGCUGUGUCACAUAGGAAAAGCUGUCUAAUCCGCCCUGGGGCCCAGUCUUGGUCCCAACUCGAUUGGAUGGCUGUGAGAUUUAAAAUGUGCGAACAGUUCUUUUGAACAGACUUCCUUUUAUUUAUAAAAAUACAAAUAAGCAGUGGGGCGGGUCCCUAAAGAGGACAGGAGCCCAAUAUCCCCGAGUGUCUGAGAAUGAGAGGGGUAGAUGAGCAGGCUGGAGGGAUGGGUGAACUCUCCCGAGCAGGGAGUCUCCAUGUUUACAACCACAGAAAACACAUUGUUCCCUCCGCCCGGGGAUGGGACCUGUCACUUAGCUAGGCUGCUAAGAGGGGUGAUAACUCCAGAGUGGAUACCCAGGGAUCUCAAACGCCUGCAUCCUAGGCCAGAGUUGCUUGUUCUUGGAGAUGUUGAACUUUGGGGCCGAAUAAUAUUUGCUUUGUAUGCGGCUUUCCUGUGCCUCCUUGGGUGACUGGUAGCUUCCCUGGCUCUACUCCUAGGUACCAGUAACACUUCCCCACCCUACCCCUGCCCUGUUUCUAACAGUGAGGAUUGUCUCCAGAUGGUACUAAAUGUCCUCAGGGAGGGACAGUGGGCUCGCUGUGCUCCCUACGGGGUGGGCCUUCCAGAAAUGGUUGUGGUCUGCUGUGCUGAAAUUAACAACCUGUUUUUUUCUGAGCUUUGCUAAUCUCUGUCUAGUUUCGUUUAUUGACUGGAGGACCGAGAGAGAGAGUCCUGGGAAAGCACUACAGACUUUCCACAUUCCCACCCUGUUUGAAAUAAAGCAGGGGGUUCUUGCACCUGGCUGGGCAGCCAAGUCACACGGGACUCAGUUCUUGUCACUCCAGCUUCAAGUCCCUCCCCCCACAGCAUGAAAUGCAUUACAUUUUGUACACCCGUAGCUGUCAGAUAAAAUAUGAGCUACGGUGAAGAUGGAACAAGGAAUUCCACUGAAACAAGAUCUUGAGGUAAAUGUCUUUGGUGGUGAAUACAUUUUCUCUUCUGCGAUAGACCCGGGAGUUAGUGGAUCUGUAUUCGGGGGGACACCGGGGAAGGCACCGAAGGACAGAGUUUUGCAGGAAACAAAGGUAGAAGGAGAGGUGGAAACAUUUGGGCUCUUACUAUGGAGGUGGUGGUUGGAGUGCAUUGGGGGAAAGGGUUGGACCAACUCCUUUUGGGGCCCUCAUUGGUUUUUGAUGUUUUUUUGUUGUGUUUAAUCAUCCUCCCUAGACAAGUCAGGUUUUACUCUUCUCUGGUGUGGCUUCUGACACACCAUUAUUGCCAUCAUCUCAUUAAUUUCCUCUCUGGAAUGUGUUGCUGUUCAGGAUCAAAGGACGCUCCUCAGUUUCUGGAAGCUUUUCCCCCGAUUUCCUGGGUGCGCUUGCUUUAGUGCGGCCUCUGAUACCUGGGGCAGAGCAGUGGAAUAAAGCUUGGAAAUGUGCUUGGUGCAACAAAAGCUCCUCUGGGUCUUAGCAUAACGGAGCCAGGCAUGAGUUUUUGCCUUGAGCCGGUCCAAAACCACAGGUAUAAACCAAGUGCAUGCAAUUGAGUUCUCAGGGGCGUGCGUCCCUGCUGAGCACGGUCACGUGUGGACCCGGGCUGUCAUUUACACAACUGACCCUGUGAACCUGACGCUGAGGAUUCUACCUAGGGUCUUUCGAUCCUGUGGCCGGGUCACAACAAAUGUAGUGCGCGUAGCUGUGUUGGGGUGGGAAAGGCACACGUUCUCGCAGUGCUGCUGGCUGUCCUCUGCGUUGAAGGGGCUGCUUGCAGAGCGGUGUGGCCGUGACCGUGGGACUCUUCGUACAAUGACCACAUGGAUGCUGCCGGUCGUCACUGACGUGUGGUAUCGGAGAGUCUGGUUUGCUGUGUGAAUGUGAUAAUAGAAGGUGAGAUAGCCAGUAGUCACUCACGAUAUCUGCAAGUUCAAGGAGCCCUUCUCAUACAGCGAAUCAAGGCUCAGUGGCACCGCUUGCCACUUCCUUCUUCUUCACUGAGGUCGCUCUCAUCGCUGUCCCCCUGGGCUUCAAUUUUCAUUUCAUAUCCUCCCUGGGUCCCAGAGACCCACUCUUCCCUCCUACUUCUCUUCCUCACAUUGCUAUAUUCCAGCAUCUGGAGACCCAGGACAAAGGAUUUCAAGGCACCGGUGUUAAACCUUCUCCUGCUUCAUCCAUAUGGCUUGCUGUCCACCUCUUAAACCGAUUGUUAAUUUGCUUUUGACUCCCCACAAGCAGGUCACUGAAUAAGAAAAGAUGCUGCUUCUGCCUCUCUUGAGUUCUACCCGGCCAUCAGUCUUCCUGCAGCACACAAAUGAUGACUAAAAUGUACAGGGUCAGUACUAGCAUAAGGACUUUCUCAAGUGCACGGCUGUUUUUGGAGGGUAUUAUCCAAGAUAAGUAAGUGAUGGAACACUUCUCCUUUCUGCUAGUGUUUUCAUUCUUUUCUUGUUGCCUGGGCCUCCUGUCAGGGUGCUAUCCCCUUAGAAUCUCCUGCUAAAGGGACAUUACUGCCAUGAAGAAAAUCUUCAAGUGAGUCCAAGCUUGGGAGGAGGCUGUAUGGCCAUGUCCAUCGGAGGGACGAAGACGAGCUAGCUGAGGCAUGGCUGCCAUGUCAUGAGGCUGAUGCCCCUCCCAUCAGGGCCAUAUACUCUGGGCUGGAGGUGAGGCGGUGCGACUCCCAGCCCCCAAUGGGCUUCUAAAGGCUUGUGUGAGGUUUCUCUUGGCUAUGUGCCUGUCCUGUUGUUCCUGCAAUGAUACAGUGAUACCUCAUUUCCCUGUUGGGAGGGGAAGAGGGUGCCUGUUUGGAAAGACAGUGGACAAUGUUUGUCGUGGGAUUGUGAUCUGACUUGUCAGGUUUCGUAUUUUGUCACCCCGAAAUUCAGCUGUUUUCUGAUCAUGUUGAAUGUGCAUGUGGAGGGUGAUGUGAACAGCGGUAAGUGGGAGUGGAAGGUUGAGGUGUUUAACACUGGCUCCAGUCUCUUGCUGGUCGAGGGAUAUCCUGGGUGCAUGUGUGGGGAUAGUGCUGCAAAACUCUGGCUUUGGCCCAUGUGAACAUUUCUCUCUCCCUCUUCAUUCUUGCCUUUGGCUCUUUAGCUCCUUCGCAACAAACCAGGCUGUGGUUCUCACUGCUCUGCCUUUGAUGAAACCUCCCAUCUUUUUAAGAGUCCUGACUAGAGUAAUGUGUGUGGCACCAAGUACUGCGAAAAAUCACAGUGGAGAGGAAGUCUGGAGGAGUCCAGAGGAUCACAGGGUGAGAUGGGGAAUCUCUCCCCUUGGCUGCCUCUCUGGGAACAGCAUGCACUCCCUUGGCUUCUGCUUUCUGCCUAUUGCAGGAAGCCCAGGGUGAUGACCCCCACAUCCCAUCGUCACCAUGGUACAAGCAAGAUGGGGCUCUCAAGCCUCCCGAAUUGCAGAGAACCCCAGGAGCUUUUGUGAUUUACGGCAUGGUUUGGUGGCUAGGAAGGACUCUUUGUGGCUUUCUUUUGGUUUUUAAAAAAAGUAUUCGGAAACCUUGAUUAUAUUUUUCUCUCUGACAAAUCAUCGCAAUUGCCUCUGAGGGAACUGGGUGAGAAUUCUGGGUGGCUUUGUAGCAUUUUUAAAGAAAGAUCUGUCUUUCCCCUGUUCACAUCAGAGGUGUUGGGCCUAUUGGGCUGGCUAUCAGGGGCUCAUUUCUCUGUCUACUUUCAAGAGGGUCAGGCUGGCUUCAGGAAUCCGCAACCUGAAGUUGAUGCAGUCACACAUGUCAUGAGUUUAGUUUAAUUCUCUGCUGUUCUUGACUUGAAAUUCUUAAUUUUUGAAAGGGGUCCCAUGUCUUCCUUUAGCACAGGACCCUACAAAUCAUUCCCUUGGUCCUGCAGGGGCUGGCAGAGCAGAAGUGGGCCCAUUCCAGAUUCCUAGGACAGCUGUGAGGAGGGCAGCCCUCAGGAACGGCAAGAGAAAGAGCUGCAAGGGUGUAGUUGAGGGUGGAGAGGAAGUGGCAGUUCAGCACAACUAAGGGGCUGUCUAAACAUGAGCAGGAUGAGAGACUGGGCAAGAAGGUGAGGUUGUUGGUGCUAUGAUCUGCUUAUUGGAAGGUGGGGCUCUGCGGGGUGGGAUCACUGUGACCCUCAGCGUGUAAAUACCGUACAGCCUGUAGCAAUGCUCAAAAACAAAAAUCGUCAAUCAGUGAACAGCUUCACAUCUGAGAUGAAUGACGGUGGAAUGUGUUUCUGGUGGGGGUACUAGUGAAGCACGAACUGAUCCAUCUGCUGCUGGUUUAAAGUGAAGGGCACAGGUCCUUCAGGAUAUGGAUGAGGUUUGACCCUGUGGUACUGACCUUGUAGAUGACUCAGUCUCUGGAGGAACCUUCUUCUCUUGGCUCCGGCUUUACCCUCUCCCCCACUCUGCAUUCUUUGGGUCCCGUUUUCCUUGAUUCCCCUCACCUUAGGUUUUGUGGCUUUUAGCGUCCACUGAACUGACCACGUUCAUCACUUCCGGUCUAUUUCUGCUUUAUUUGUGGCACUCCCAUUCCAUCCGUACAAUGGAACAGACCCCCUUGGGUCAGGGUAAGUGGUCUGUGAAGACCCAUAGGCUUUCAUCACCACUGGCUGCUAACAGGGUAUCCUAUCCAGUCCCAACCGGCUCCUCCGUCCCGGGUGCUGCUCCUCAGAGCCAACUCUCCUGGCUCUUCCUUCGUGUGGGUUUGCUGGGGAAAAAAACCCAGGCCGAGACCUCCGCAGGAAGACAAGAUGCUGGGAGCCCAGUGGAGGGGAUCUGUGCAGUGUUGGUAUCAACUCUGUCCUGGGAACUCGGGGCUGGUAGAGGUUGGGGAGCCAACAGGAUUCUUCUUAGGGAGAAGGCGUGGAACUCCAGGGCAGAGGGUUGAAUCAGGCACACAGUUCAUAGCAGAUCGUGAUCCGUGGUCUGUUUCUCAUUCCUGUACCUAUCUUACCUGUCCACCGUAAGAAACUGUUCUGUUAUCUCACUGUGCAUCUUUCUUUACCGCUGUAACAAAGAGCACUGUUGUGUCCGGACACCUUCAAUUCACACAGGUCCUGUUGUUCUCCCGUUUCUUCUUCUCUUUCCUUUCUCACUCUGCUAUGUUUUAAGAUAGGCCCUUCCCCUCUACAGGCUUAAAACGUACUGAAAUCACCCAAAGAGCUUUUGUUUAUGUGGGUUAAGCCUAUUGGUAUUUGCUGCAUUUGAAAUUAAAAGGGAGACCCUGAAAAUGCCCAUCUGCUGAUCCAUUUGAAAGGAGCAAUACUGAGCACAUAGCAUGGUAACAUAAAUAAGGGUUUCGCCAGACUAUAAAAGUAGUCUUGCCCUUGUGGAAUCCUCAUCCUAGCUUUCAGUGUGUUCCACGAUACAAAAAGGCACCAUGAAGGACAAAAACCUAGUAAGUAAACUUUGUUUGUUGCUUUAGAAUACCUAUGCCAAGAAACUGGAGUGUGUUAAGUUUUAGCGAACUCUGCUUAUGUUCAUGGGCUUUGCUCUCCUAGCUGCUGAGUGGUGCUUUGCCUACAAUAGGGAAGGCUGUCUGGACAGCAGAGAUUCCAUGUCUUACUAGAAUACUUUUUGGCGUUUUAUGUCAAACUUGUCAUGUCCUAGAAUAGAUUACUUAAAACACAAAGAACAAAAAUUUCUCAUGUAAGAGCAAGCUAUAUGUAUGGUUCUAUUUAUUUCACUUAUUUUGCAUCCCAUGCUUACAUAGGCUGCUUUUAUUUAAAGAUUGAGAUACUGUGCUUUUUGAAGAAUGUGAAUCCAUGGUUUUCAUUAUAUUGUUGGGCUAUGCAAACAUUAUCACUGUCUAAUUCUAAUUCUAAAAUAUUUUCCAAAAUGAAAUUUAUAUUCUCUUCUUACCCCAGCCCAUGGCAGCCCCAACCUACUUUCUGUCUCUAUGGAUUUGCCUAUUCUGGACAUUUUAUACAAAUGGGAUUAUAUAAUGAAAAGUUUUUAUAUCUGAUUCCUCUUAAUUGGUGUAAUGUUUUCGAGGUUCAUUUAUGACACUGUAUGCAUCCAUUGGUGACUGAGUAAUAUUCCACUGUAUGGAUAUACCACUGUAUAGAUAUAAUGUAUUUCUCCAUCACUGGAUUGUUUUUAUUUUUUUGGCCAUUAUGAAUAAUGCUAAGAAUGCAUGCAAGUUUUUAUAUGGGCAUGUAUUUUUUAUAUUCUUGGGUAUGUUUAUUUUUAAAUGUUUCCUUAUCAGUUAAAAUGGAUAGCCAAGGCUUGUGUCUCAGACACUCAUGACCAUGUGUUAACCUGGUGUCCAAUUCUCCUGACAACUCUUCUGGUCUUGCCUUCCCAAGACAGGUAGAAAAAAAUAAGGGAACUUUCAGGACAUUCUCAUACCUAUAGUGACCUUUGAGAUUUCCCAGCAGAGCCCUGGAAAAUCACAAAGAUUUGUUCUUUCACAAAGAGAUACUAGAAGUAAUGGUUUGAUGUGUCUGUAUUAUAAGAUCUACACGAGAAGAGGUGUCAGAUCAGAACAGAUGUUCAUCCUUACCCAGGUUAAACUUAUGCAGGCCAAAUGGUAUUAAUACAUGAUUAAAUAUUUUAGAAAUUGUAUGUUCUAUGUGAAGCUCCUGGCGAUUUGUCAAAUCCCUCACUGCCCAUAUUUUUACUCUCGGGGACACAUUGAUAGAGAAAUUUAUUCUCAUAUUAUCGGUCAUAGUAAUAUGUUAACUACGGUCAUGAAGUCUCUGUUUACAGGCAGUGUUUUGAUUGCUUUCAUGUGUACCUGAAGGCUCUUUUCUGAGCUGCAGCAGGUUGUGUCUUCAGUGAAAAAGGACAUGAGGCCUCAUGGUAAAGGACUGUGUCAGGGACCUCAAACUGACCCCACAUUAACGAACAGACUCAUGUAUGGGCUUCUGAGCUGACAUCACCCAAGCAACUCUCAGAUUAUCCCCAUAGACUGAGUCAGGAUUUGCAGGAUUUGCAGAACAUUUCCUAAUCCAGAAGCAGAAGACUUCCCGAGAGGAGACUGUGAAUCCAAGGUCCAGUGGAACUAGAAGUAAUUCCUCAGGACAGUGUGAGAUGACGCAGGAAUGUCAUCGUGGUUGUUUGUUUAAACUAUUGUUAAUGUUGCUUUAAAGUAUUCUAUUUGGGGACAGAGGGGCUUUUUCUCUUCUGCAACUCCCUGUAACUCACAACUACAGUUAAGUGGACCAUGCUUUUGUAAAUGAAAAUAAAACUUUCGAAA